UACAGCACUCUCAUCAAAGUCCGCCUGCCAGAUCUGUUUUGCCUCUUAGCAGCCACGAUUGAAAACCUGGUACGUCUCCUGCUGUGACUGUACGAUCUUACAGCAUUACUGAUUCUGCGUGAACAAUGCCAUGAAAGGAAGCAGAAAUAUACUCUGAGGUAUCACACAGUCGAAGCCAUACAUCUGCAGAUCCAACAGCAGCCACGCUAUGUAUGCUGGUGAACAGAAGUGCUCUUGAUGAGGCACUCGCCUGCAGUUCUGUAAGAUGUGGCAGUUUUUAUGGUAGCAGCCGCUACUGUACCUGCUACUGAAAAGGAAUAUAGUGCAGAGGAGUGACACCAGUCCGAUAAACGAGGAAGACCAUCUCUGGGUUGCUGUGGCAGUGGAGCCAGUAGUAUGUGGAUUUUGUCAUCCAGCAGUUCUGCCAAAACUGGA